CAGACCCCGUGAAAGCCACGGAUGUCGGCGCUGAGGCCGUGUACGAGGAGCUGGAUUACAGCCUGAUGCCCGAGUACCAGGAGGUGCCCAGCCACACAGGUGGGAGCACGGUCGUCCCCAGGGCCUGGGGCUGUCCCCAUCCCUGGCCCAACACUCAGCAGCCCCUUCUCCACUGCAGGCUCCCUGUCUGAUGGCUCGGGCAUGAAGCUGCAGGACAACAACUGGGAUGGCAAUGACAAGGAGGAGAGCAACCCCAGAGAGGCCCCAGCCCUCCCGGCCCAGCCUGGGCACGGCCCCCCAGGUGGCUAUGACGAUGCUGCGGCCGUGCCGGAGGAGCCCCCCGCUUCCCACGGUGGGGACGCCCUGGCUCAGCCCUGUGGGGACACGGGCUAUGACGACGUUUACAUGGGCACCCUGGGGACAGCGCCGUGACGAGGCCAUGGGGACACGGCUGCAGGAGGGGGCUCCGGCCCCAGGGAUGGCUGGCCCUGCCCAUGGGGUCACCCAUCCCUGCCCAGCCCUCAGCACACUGCAGAAACGGCUCCAUCGGCCCGCCAGCACCCGUGGCCCAAUGUCACGCCAGGCUCCUUGUGAAGUUUUUCAGCAUGGCCUUUCCCUUCGCAGCACUCCUUCCCAUUAAAGCCCCCAAGUGCUUGGAACCUCGCUCCCAGCACCAUUGUGUGUCUCUCUCUCUCUCCCGGGUCGAUCGUCCAUCCCUUGGGGCAUGGGGCAGAGCUGGGCCCGCAGGCACAUCCCCAUGGCUCUGGGCACGCAGGAAGGAUGGGGAAGAGCCCAGGGCCCAACCCCGGGACCUUCCUUUGGCCCCAGAGCUGCACGCUCUCCCUGCCAGGAUAAUGUAGAAUGAUAGAAUCAUAGCAUAUUCCGAGUUGGACUCGAUGAUCCAUAUGCGUCCCUUCCAACUUCUUCCACCACACAGGUCUGUUAUAAGUUGUCCCCUUAAUUUUUCAGAGAGCAUUGUAUUAACCAUAGAAAGGAAUUUAUGGAGUAAGCCAACAGCAUGCAAAACUGC
rnacentral:lncRNA from 1 species